GACGAACGCUGGCGGCGUGCUUAACACAUGCAAGUCGAACGGUGAAGGGAUCAGCUUGCUGGUUCUGGAUGAGUGGCGAACGGGUGAGUAACACGUGAGUAACCUGCCCCCUUCUUCUGGAUAACCGCAUGAAAGUGUGGCUAAUACGGGAUAUUCUGCGCCUGCUGCAUGGUGGGUGUGGGAAAGAUAUUGUUUCGGUGGGGGAUGGGCUCGCGGCCUAUCAGCUUGUUGGUGGGGUGAUGGCCUACCAAGGCGGUGACGGGUAGCCGGCCUGAGAGGGUGGACGGUCACACUGGGACUGAGACACGGCCCAGACUCCUACGGGAGGCAGCAGUGGGGAAUAGUGCACAAUGGGCGCAAGCCUGAUGCAGCGACGCCGCGUGAGGGAUGGAGGCCUUCGGGGUGUGAACCUCUUUCGACAGUGAAGCAGGCCUGUCCCUUGUGGGUGGGUUGACGGUAGCUGGAUAAGAAGCGCCGGCUAACUACGUG
rnacentral:rRNA from 1 species